rnacentral:lncRNA from 1 species
CAGCAGAGAGCGCCCGGGCCGGGCGGGGUGCGGGCGCAGGGGGCUUUCAAGCGCCUCUUCCCGGGAGGCCACAGUCUCUGAGCUUCUCAUCUCCAUCUCAUGUUCCCGAUGCUCCUUGCCGGGUACCCACCUCCAAAAGCUGCCAGGAAAGAAGAGAAUGGAAGAUGAAUGGAGCAAGGAAAAAACACCAACAUCAUCAUCAUCAUCAUAGCUGCCAUCAUUCACUGAGUGCCUCGUCUGCACCCAGCAAAGUGUGUGCAUUAUCCUAUUUAAGGCAAGGAGCU